rnacentral:rRNA from 1 species
UACAGAGGGGACAAGCGUUAUUCGGAAUUAUUGGGCGUAAAGGGCGCGUAGGCGGCCUGGCAAGUGGAAGGUGAAAUCCCUCGGCUUAACCGAGGAACUGCCUUCCAAACUGCUUGGCUUGAGUCCGGGAGAGGUGAGUGGAAUUCCCAGUGUAGCGGUGAAAUGCGUAGAUAUUGGGAGGAACACCAGUGGCGAAGGCGGCUCACUGGACCGGAACUGACGCUGAUGCGCGAAAGCGUGGGGAGCGAACAGG